GACGGGGGAUGCAAGUGUUAUCCGGAAUCACUGGGCGUAAAGCGUCUGUAGGUGGCUUUUCAAGUCCGCCGUCAAAUCCCAGGGCUCAACCCUGGACAGGCGGUGGAAACUGCCAAGCUGGAGUACGGUAGGGGCAGAGGGAAUUUCCGGUGGAGCGGUGAAAUGCGUAGAGAUCGGAAAGAACACCAACGGCGAAAGCACUCUGCUGGGCCGACACUGACACUGAGAGACGAAAGCUAGGGGAGCGAAUGGG
rnacentral:rRNA from 1 species